CCGACUCAAUGGACAUGGGUUAGGGUGAACUCCAGGAGUUGGUGAUGGACAGGGAGGCCUGCUGUGCUGCGGUUCAUGGGGUUGCAAAGAGUCAGACAUGACUGAGCGAGUGAACUGAAGUGAAAGGCUCUAUGGAGGUGACACAAACUGAACUUUAAUUUUAACAGUUACCAAUUAUUGGUGUCUUACUAAAUCUAGACCUGGGGCUAGCAUUUUUAAGGCAUUGGCUCAUUUAAUCCUCAAAACAACCCUACAAGGUGGUUACUUUUUAUGAAAUGAGACUAACAUUUGUCCUCUCUUCCAGAAUACAGCAAUUCAAUUCUCAGCUAAGAACCACCUGCAAUAAAGAUUUCAUUUCCAGCCUCUCUUGAGAUACGGCUACAAGAUAAAAUUCAGGUCACAGAGAUUAACCAGAACUUGUGUGGACUUCCAAGUUUUCUUAAAGUUAGGGGCAAGCCUCUUAUGCCUUCCUCCUUUCUGCUGGCUGGGAUGCAAAGAUCAUGGCAGGAGGCCAAGCAGCCAUCCUGGAGUGAGGAAGCCACACACUGAGGAUGAGGGCAAAGAGCCUGGGUGCCCUGAUCAUGUUGAGAAGUCUCCCUCCCCAACCUGCCCUGCCUACCUAGAUUCCUUUUUAGACAGAAAACUUCAUUCUUGCAAUAAGCCAAAAAGAACAUUUUGCGUUUUCUUUCACAGAAUUGAAUCAAGGUCAGACUGACCUAUUAAUACUAUCUGCACUUACAGAGACGAGAAAAGCUUACCCAGACACAGCCAGUGUGAGCCAGGGUUCAAACACAACUCUGAUUCCUUACCUCCGGGUUCCAACCCUCACCCAGACUCCCUUGAGAAGUACACAGGAUUUGUACAGAGUGGGUCCUCCCUCGGAAGAGGGCAGUAAAUAAUAAAAUGUCCCAAACAGCAGCGUAUGAAAACAGAAGAUGAAAAUGACACAAAAUUAGGCAAAUUUGGUCAUGAAGAAAGGAGGGGCAGAAGCUCUCAAUCAGAAACACACAGAUGCAGGUCUGAAUCCCUGAAAGCAUGGACGAGGUUCUGAGAGUAUGUGCAUAUAUAAACAUUUUGAGAAAAGAGUCUGUAGCUUCCAUCAUAUUUCAGAGGGUCUGAGACUCAUAUAAGGACUACUGCCAUAAGGCUUAAAAACGAAACUCGAUGCAAGAACGAGGUAAAGAAAGGUUAUCCAUUUACAUGAUAAAUACUCUGCAGACACUGAUGGGUGUAUGCUUGUGGUCACUAGGUCCACUACAGCGCACAUCUGUUGACUCUGUGUAUCUUCACAGUGUGAUCUUCACCACAGCUUGCAAACUGUAACCAUUCAGCACCUUCUCCUUCAUUCUGUUCAGUCUUUCCAUUACAAUUCUUCCAGCAUAAUUUUUUGAUAGCAAGCGUAUGACUUUGGCUAAAACAAAGAGAAAUCAUGAGAUGAACAUAUGCUACGACUAUGAAACAUUUCACUGGCUGCUCAAUUCAUAUUAAUUAAAUUAGUAUGCGCUUCCUAUUAGUGUUGUUAACAUAAAUGAAAGUCAAAACCUGAACAUCAAGAUGUGCUAUCACUAACAGUUUAGCAAUUUUAUUUUAACCUUGAAAACAUCUUACUUACCGACCAAGGACACCACCAAAAACAGCAAGAAACAGACAAUGUAUUUCUGUCAAAUUUUGCUUUAAUGAUCAGUGGAAUUCAAGAAAUGUCUAUUGAAAUUAAGUCUUUCAGGUAACAUUACUACUAAUUUGGUAACGGUAAUGUUAGCAAUCCAAAUAAUAUAAAGUAAGUCAGGAAUCAGUUCUUGCAAAUCCAAAGUCAUCAUAAUGACAAAAAAAAUUUUUUAAUGAAAAACUCAAAUUCUGCACAUGUCCCCUGCCCAUGCUUUCUAAGGGGCUUCCUGCCAGUGUUGACUUUCAGGCCAUGGACGUGGUCUGGGUACCAGGCAGAGGCAGAGUGAGCAUCGUGGGCAGGGCAAACUGAAAGGAAGGAAAAGAAGGGAGGGGAGGCCAGGAAGAGAGAAAAUUUCAAGUGCCUGAAAUACGAAAUUUCAUUGGCUUCCUCUUUCUUAGGUAAGCCAGCAGCAUGAACGAUUUCAACAGCCAAAUCCAGCCUCAGAGAGGUAGGAGCGAAGCCAUGAGAGAAGCAGUGACAAAUCAGAUCUCAUUUUAAUAUACUUAAAUAAAUACAAUUAUCAUAAGCAUUAACAUGCUCUGCUGAUAAGGAGACAAACUCCUCUGGAAGAAAUAGCUUGUACAAUACAUGUCUCUUGUCAUCAAGCCAGUGACCUUCCUCAUGGUGCUGUUGUUUGGAACUGUAUUUGAAGUUAUAUUUUGGAUAGUUUAAACAUACGAAUGUUGAAGAAUCCUAAAAAAAAAAAAAAAAAAAAUCUAACA